CAUUGAAACACCGGUUCGCAUAUGGCCUCCUAAGUUAAGCAACAUCGAGCCUGGUCAGUACAUAGACGGGAGGCCGCUUGGGAAUACCAAGCGCUGUG